rnacentral:lncRNA from 1 species
UAUGCAUUUAUCACAAUCGCAGAACAUUAUAGUAACAAAUCACAAAUUUUUUAGAUCACAACUUAUUUAUUGAUCACAAAUUUAUCAAAUAAUUGGUCACGACUUAUUUCUCGAACACAAAUUAUCAAAUUAAUUGCUUACAACUUAUUUCUCGAUUACUAAUUAUCAAAUUAAUUUGUUACAACUUAUUUCUCGAUCAUAAUUUAUCAAAUCAAUUUGUCACAAUUACCCAAUUAAAUAGUCACAAAUUGCCAUUUAUUUUUCCCAUCCACCCCUUGUACCACCUCUAGCAUCACCUAAGACGUUACCGUCACAUCAAAUUCACCUACCACAUCCAUCACAAACACCUACAUCAAACAACCAUCGUCACUUCACCACCACUACAACCGCAUUACAACACACAUAAAUCAGCGUCGUUUACAUACACAGAUCUACACUCAUACAUACAAAUAGAUACACUUACUCAAAAUUUGGCCCCACGCCGCAAACAUACACACAAAUAAGUACACAUACACAGAUCGCCCACCAUCGUUAUAUGGAGAAUGACCAUACACACAAAUCAUUACACAAGAAGCAGCGACUCACACAUGCACAGCUAAAUACAAUGGAAGCAAUAGCGCUCAUCGCUACUUGUAAUAGCGGGAUGGGUGGUGUCAUUCCGACAACAGCGCUUGUCGUCACUGUGCAUGCGCACAACAACAACUGCGUGCAAGAGAGAGACUUCCUUUUGGAUACAAAAAGAAUAAUUUAAUUUAAUUUAAUUUUGCAAUAUCACAUAGGCGCUUUUCAUUAUUAUCAAAUAGGAAUGAGUUUAUCACAAUCACUUCACUGAAUUUCAAUUUAUUAUCAAAUUUCAUCCAACUGUAUCCCAAUAUUGAUGAAAGUUACUUAAUUCAUAAUCAUACUGUGAUGGAUCUUUCAUGUAAUUGUUGGGUGGGUAAGUGCACCUAGCACAAUCCUAUAACCUACCUUUUAAUCAUACAUAACACAACAUCCAUGUGAAAAACUAAAAAAAAACGUAAAAUCAUUUCUCAGUCCUUCAUGUACCGGCUUUAGCAUAUUCCUAUAUCAACAACAACAAUACAAACAGCGAAAAUAGAAUAGAAAGGAAAAAUGUUAAUUUUUUUGGGACCAAAAAUAUUGAAGAAAUAUCAAUGUACAAGAGGGGGAAAAAAAUCUAAUAAUAAAAAUGUCAGUAUCUCGAUUAUAAAAAAUUACGAAGUCCAUAUUUAAAAUAAGUCCAUCUCAAAUAACACAGCAUAAACGAUUAAAUAUAAGCUACACAAGAAAGAUUUUAAAAAACGAAUAUCUAAAAAACAAAAAUAAAACUUAGAUGUCAAUUCCUGGACAUGAGAAAAAAGUCCAAAAAAGUAGAUCUUGAUAUAAUGAAAUGAAUCAAAAAUUGAGAAUACACAACUCAUCAAUCUACAGAAUAAACAAUUUAUUUGAAAGAAUCGACUAAAAAGUAAAAUAAGAACAAACCAAACAAUGACUGAAAGAAAUCAUAAGUAAAAACUCGACGAACAAAUGAUAGUUGUGGCUUACAAUCGAAAAAAUACACAAUCACCCAUCGAAACUGCGCUUCAUUUUCUCGAAAGAAAUCAAUUCUUGAACUUGAGGCAAAAAAAUCAAUAUCAGAUUUUUAUACUGCGAAAUAAAUAAAAAUCAAGAGCACAUAACUCAUUAAUCUACAAAAGACAAUUAAUUCUACAGAAAUCAACCGAAAAAAUAAUAAAAAUAGACGAAGCAAAAACUCAGAAAAGGUAGAGGCAAAAACUCAAAGAAGACAGUGCAUAACAUCGACAGAUGUACCUACCAUCUCUGAUGGUUUAAGAAUUCCAAGAGCAAAAAGAAAUCGCCAAAGAAGAGAAGUGAGAAGAGCAAUGGCGCCAAGGUUAGAGAGAGAGAAAAAAAAAAUAAAAAAAA